rnacentral:ncRNA from 1 species
CCCAGUGAGUUUAAGCAUAUCAAUAAGCGGAGGAAAAGAAACUUACCAGGAUUCCCCUAGUAGCGGCGAGCGAAUAAGGAAAAGCCCAGCUUGAGAAUCGAUCGCCAUCGGAGUCCUAAUUGUAGUCUGGAGAAGCGUCUUCAGCGACGGACCAGGCCCAAGUCCCCUGGAAAGGGGCGCCGGAGAGGGUGAGAGCCCCGUCGUGCUUGGACCCUGUUCCACAAGGCACUAUCUACGAGUCGGGUUAUUUGGGAAUACAGCCCUAAUCGGGCGGUAAAUUCUAUCCAAGGCACCGAUAGCGAACAAGUACCGCGAGGGAAAGAUGAAAAGGACUUUGAAAAGAGAGACAAAGAGUGCUUGAAAUUGUCAGGAGGGAAGCGGAUGGGGGCCGAUGAUGGGUCUCGAUCGGGUGUGGAACAGUGAGAACCGGUCUGCCGACCGGCUUAGGGCGUGGACCGACGCGUGUCGUGGCUGCUACCCAAGCUCGGGCAUUUGAUACACCCGUGGAGACGUAGUCGACUCAAUCUUGGGAUUUAGCACGCGCUGUCUCGGUGUGCUUUGGCACCUGCGUGCUCCGGGCGUUGCCCUGCGGACUCCCCACUCAGCCCGUCUUGAAACACGGACCAAGGAGUCUGACAUGUGUGCGAGUAAACAGGCUAGAAAACUCGUAAGGUGCAAGGAAGCUGAUUGGCGGGAUCCCUCGCGGGUGCACCACUGACCGACCUUGAUCUUCUGAGAAGGUUUCGAGUGAGAGCAUGACUGUUAGUACCCAAAAGAUGGUGAACUAUGCCUGACGAGGGCGAAGCCAGAGGAAACUCUGGUGGGGGUCCGCAGCAAUACUAAUGUGCAAAUCGUUAGUUUGACUUGGGUAUAGGGGCGAAAGACUAAUCGAACCGUCUAGUGUCACAGGCCGCAGUUCAAACCCGUGACUAUCGUACCAAAUGCAUGGAGGUCUAUUGCUCAGAUGGAGAUCAUUUGGCCUACGAGAACUGGCCCGAUUCAAAGAGCUCUUGGAGAAGCCUCUCAGAUUGAAGCCUGGUUGGCCCGAUAAUGAAGUCAUCGCAACUUAGGCUAAUAUGGUAACUAAUCUUAGAAGAUAGAGGGAAUCAUAUCUUGUAAAGAUUAAAUUAGAUUUGAUAUGGCAUAUCUUGUAAAUCCUUAGAAUAAAGGGAUAUGGCUAAUCUCGACUGUCGAUGUAAAUGUAUCUUGACCAUUAGUUUUUGGGGAGCUCAACCAUAAAUAUAGAGCCUCCCCCUCAAUUGUACUCACUCCAUUCAUUGUUUCAUUAUUAUUUGUGAAUAAGAGAAUUGAGAACAUUUACUCAAACACUUUACGAGCGCUCUUUCUGUUGUUCUUUUGUUUAGCUUCUUUUGGCAUAAAUCGCUUCUGCUCUUCAAUUUGGUGCCUUGGAGGAGUUCUUAAGGAAUCCUCACUUGAGUUAAGGCUGACUUAGGCGAGUUUGGACGAAUGGAUCGCAAGAGAAAACUCUAGCCCUGUGACAAGUGGUAUCUGAGCUAUUGGUUCGAACCAAGUGAUAUCUGAGUUAUUGGUUCGAAAGCACCGUUGGGAUGUCGAAAGAAUAGUUCGAACAAAGGUUGGUAAGGAUGUCUUUGAGGGAGACAUUAUCGGCACUAGAGGAACAUGUGGGUAAACUCGAGAGAUCCAUGGAGGAUGUAAAGGAGGCACUCUAUGGGGUCGAGGAUUGCAUAGCAAACUGGAAGGAGCAGUCCAGAGACUAUGUAAAGAUGUCUCUUGAUUCCACCAUGGAUAAGGUACACGAGUUGUUUAAUUCACACAGGGAUAAGCUAUCGAAAAGGAAUGAUGCUCUCGAGGCCAUGAUGAUGGCUUUGAAGGAGGAAACAAUGGCCACGACAAGGGCUUUGAGCACAUGAAUAGAGGAGCUCGAGGGAGAGCUGGCCUUGUGUCGAGCAGCCGUAGGGAGUGGCAAAUACAACACUCAGUAAUGAGGAUGUCCCGAAGCCGAAAGAGUUUGUGGGGACAAGGUCUGCAUACAAUGUGGACAAUUUCUUGUGGCGGAUGGAAAACUACUUCCGUGCUAAAGGCAUCAUGGAUGAUGCGGUUAAGGUUAACACUACUUCAAUGUUUCUUACGGACAUUGCGCUUUUAUGGUGGUGAGGCAGGACCACAGAUAAAAGGCAAGGUAAGAUUGGGACAUGGCAAGAGUUCCAAUGUAAGUUGAAGGGACAGUUUUACCCAGAAUUCACAAGGAAGAAGCUCGGGAAAAGUUGCAAGGGAUAACGCAAUGCGGCACAAUGGAGGAGUAUGUUCGAGAGUUUAAAGAACUCAUGCUCCAAGUUCCAGAGGUGACCGAAAGAGAGGCAUUGCUUGCUUUUCAGAGUGGAUUGAAGCCGUGGGUCAGACAGGAGGUGGAACAAAGAGGUGUCCAAAAGCUGUCAUAAGCCGUGAUGGUAGUUGAGUCCGUGGUCAAGCUUGGCCUAGAGAAAGACAAGCUAGGGUCUUCCAAGUCCGAGGAAAGAGGCAUAUGUGAAAUGGAUCAAAAGGAGGAUAUUGUUGAUGGCAAUGGCAAUAGCAACGAUUGUGGUAAUGGGAAACCAUGAAUUGGGAAGAAGAAACCCAAGAGGAAAAGGGACAAGCUGAAAUGCUUUCUUUGCGACGGUCUACACAUGUUGAAGAAAUGUUUGAAGAAAUCCGCACUUAAGGAGAAGCCGGUGGGGAAGGCCUUGGUACUUGGUUUGAGCGCAAGGGGUGUCGAGGCCAAGAAGGCCGAAAGCGAGAAGAAGCCAGUGGAGUGAUUCUUGUGUCAUGGUCUGUAUAGGUUGUAGAAGUGUCCAAGAAAGUCUGUCAUCGAGGGGAAUGAUGGAUCAGACAAGGAGCCCAAGAAGCUUGGUUUGAGCAAGGGAAAAGUCGAAGCCAAGAGGGCAAAGAGGAGUGAAAAGAAGCGAGUAAAGUUCUUUUUGUGUCGUGGUCUGCAUGAGUUGCAGAACUGUCCAAAGCAAGCCAGAGUCAAAAGAAAGGCAACGUCUGAGCUUGGUGAGUCAUCGGAGGGGCUUCCACCCAAGGAAGAGGUGAGUUUGUCAUCGGACUUAGAGGAAAGAGUUACGAUGAAAAUAGUGAACCUAGGACCAAUGAGGCUUAAGUUGAGUGAAGCGUCGGAGUUGGCCUAGUCAUCGACAAGGCUUCCACCUAUGGGAGAGGCGGGUGGUGCAUCGGACUUCUAGCAAAAAGAAGUGAUGCAUGUGAGACAGUUGACCGGAGUAAAUGCAAAGGUACAUUCUUAACAUUGUGAUAGUGUUUUGCAUUCUAACUUGUUGACUUGGAAAGAACGUAGGUGCCCUUUCGAAGUUCUUGAGCAAAGAGGCUGAGAGACUGUGGGCAAACCAAAACCAAGGGUGGUGAAUCCCGAGGAUUCUAUUCGAGCAAGAUUAGAAUGUAGAAAAGAGAGUGACAUAACUUCUUGUCAUCGAGAUGUACAAAUGACUAGGAUGGUUCGAGUUAAGAAGCGACGUAAGCUGAGGCAAAAUUCCUAAAGGAAAGGAAAGGCUAAGGCUUCGAGACGAGAUUGAGGUGAAUCAGGUCACUGCCAUUCAGAAGUCAUAAUGAGGACGUUGCGAGAAUGGGUGAGGGAAAAUGUCACGGGCCGUAGUUCAAAGCCUGUGACCAUCGCACCAAAUGCAUCCAAUGGAGGUCUACUGCUCAGAUUGGGAUCAUUUGGCCCAUGAGAACUGGCUCGGUUCAAAGAACUAUUGGAGAAGCCUGUCAGAUUGAAGCCUGGUUGGCCCGAUAAGGAAGACAUCGCAACUUAGGCUAAUAUGGUAACUAAUCUUAGAAGAUAGAGGGAAUCAUAUCUUGUAAAGAUUAGAUUAGAUUUGAUAUGGCAUAUCUUGUAAAUCCCUAAAAUAAAGGGAUAUGGCUAAUCUCAUCUGUCGAUGUAAAUGUAUUAUGACCGUCAGUUUUUGGGCAGCUCAACUAUAAAUAUAGAGCCUCCCCCUUAGUUGUACUCACUCCAUUCAUUGUUUCAUUAUUAUUUGUGAAUAAGAGAAUUGAGAACAUUUACUCAAACACUUUGCGAGCGCUCUUUCUGUUGUUCUUUUGUUUAGCUUCUUUUGGCAUAAAUCGCUUCUGCUCUUCAAUUUGGUGCCUUGGAGGAGUUCUUAAGGAAUCCUUACUUGAGUUAAGGCUGACUUAGGCGAGUUUGGACGAACGGAUCGCCUAAGGCCGAACGGAUCAUAAGAGAAAACUCUAGCCCUGUGACAAGUGGUAUACGAGCUAUUGGCUCGAAUCAAGUGAUAUCUGACUUAUUGGUUCGAAGGCAUCGUUGGGAUGUCGAAAGAAUAGUUCGAACAAAGGUUGGCAAGGAAGUCUUUGAGGGAGACAUUAUUGGCAGUAGAGGAACAUGUGGGUAAACUCAAGGGAUCCAUGGAGGAUGUAAAGGAGGCACUCUAUGGGGUCGAGGACCGCAUAGCAAACUGGAAGGAGCAGUCCAGAGACUAUGUAAAGAUGUCUCUUGAUUCCACCGUGGAUAAGGUACACGAGUUGUUUAAUUCACACAGGGAUAAGUUGUCGAAAAGGAAUGAUGCUCUCGAGGCCAUGAUGAUGGCUUUGAAGGAGGAAACAAUGGCCACGACGAGGGCUUUGAGCACAUGAAUAGAGGAGGUCGAGGGAGAGUUGGCCUUGUGUUGAGCAGCCGUGGGGAAAGGAGUGGCAAAUACAACACUCAGUAAUGAGGAUGUCCUGAAGCCAAAAGAGUUUGUGGGGACAAGGUCUGCAUACAAUGUGGACAAUUUCUUGUGGAGGAUGGAAAACUACUUCCGUGCCAAAGGCAUCAUGGAUGAUGCGGUUAAGGUAAACACUGCUUCAAUGUUUCUUACUGACAUUGCACUUUUAUGGUGGCGAGGCAGGACCACAGAUAAAAGGCAAGGUAAGAUUGGGACAUGGCAAGAGUUCCAAUGCGAAUUGAAGGGACAGUUUUACCCAGAAUAUGCCAAGGAAGAAGCUCGGGCAAAGUUGCAAGGGAUAACGCAAUGGGGCACAAUGGAGGAGUAUGUUCGAGAGUUCAAGGAACUCAUGCUCCAAGCUUCAGAGGUGACUGAAAGAGAGGCAUUACUUGCUUUUCAGAAUGGAUGGAAGCCAUGGGUCAGACAGGAUGUGGAACAAAGAGGUGUCCAAAAGCUGUCGGAAGCCAUGAUGGUAGUUGAGUCUGUGGUUAAGCUUGGCCUAGAGAAAGACAAGCUGGGGUCUUCUAAGUCCGAGGAAAGGGGCGUAUGUGAAAUGGAUCACAAGGAGGAUAUUGUUGAUGGCAAUGGCAACAGCGACGAUUGUGGUAAUGGGAAACCACGAAUUGAGAAGAAGAACCCCAAUAGGAAAAGGGACAAGCUGAAAUGCUUUCUUUGCGACGGUCCACACAUGUUGAAGAAAUGUCUGAAGAAAUCCGUGUUUAAGGAGAAGCCGGUGGGUAAAGGCUUGGUACUUGGUUCGAGCGCAAGGGGUGUCGAGGCCAAGAAGGCCGAAAGCGAGAAGAAGCCAGUGGAGUGAUUCUUGUGUCAUGGUCUGCAUAGGUUGCGGAAGUGUCCAAGAGAGUCUGUCAUCGUGGGGAAUGAUGGAGCAGACAAGGAGCCCAAGAAGCUUGGUUUGAGCAAGGGAAAAACCGAAGCCAAGAGGGCAAAGAGGAGCGAAAAGAAGCUAGUAAAGUUCUUUUUGUGUCAUGGUCUGCAUGAGUCGCGGAACUGUCCAAAGCAAGCCAGAGUCAAAAGAAAGGCAACGUCUGAGCUUGGUGAGUCGUCGGAGGGGCUUCCACCCAAGGAAGAGGUGAGUUUGUCAUCGGACUUAGAGGAAAGAGUUACGAUGAAAACAGUGAAGCUGGGACCAAUGAGGCUUAAGUUGAGUAAAGCAUCGGAGUUGGCCUAGUCAUCGACAAGGCUUCCACCUAUGGGAGAGGUGGGUGGUCCGUCGGACUUCUAGCAAAAAGAAGUGAUGCAUGUGGGACAGUUGACCGGAGUAAAUGCAAAGGUACAUUCUUAACAUUGUGAUAGUGUUUUGCAUUCUAACUUGUUGACUUGGAAGGAACGUAGGUGCCCUUUCAAAGUUCUUGAGCAAAGAGGCCGAGAGACUGUGGGCAAACCAAAACCAAGGGUGGUGAAUCCCGAAGAUUCUAUUCGAGCAAUGUUAGAAUGUAGAAAAGAGAGUGACAUAACUUCUUGUCAUCGAGAUGUACAAACGAGUAGGACGGUUCGAGUUAAGAAGCGACGUAAACUGAGGCAAAAGUCCCGAAGGAAGGGAAAGGCUAAGGCGUCGAGACGAGAUUGAGGUGAAUCAAGUCAGUGCCAUUCAGAAGUCAUAAUGAGGACGUCAUAAGCUAGAAUCCACAAAGUUUGUUGGUCGAUUAACACACCAGGACGGUGGUCAUGGAAGUCGAAAUCCGCUAAGAAGUGUGUAAAAAGUCAUCUGCCGAAUCAACUAGCCCAGAAAAUGGAUGGCGCUUAAACUCACGACCUACACUCAGCCAUUGGGGCAAGGGCUAGGCCCCAAUGAGUAGGAGGGUGCGACGGUCAGCGUAAAACCUGGGGCGCGACCCCGGGCAAAGCGGCCGCCAGUGCAAAUAUUCAAUUGAGAACUUUGAAGGCCGAAGAGAGGAAAGGUUCCAUGUGAACGGCACUUGCACAUGUGUUAGUCGAUCCUAAGAGACGGGGGAAGCCCGUUCGAUAGCGCGUCUAACACGAGCUUCGAAAGGGAAUCGGGUUAAAUUCCUCAACCGAUACGCGACGUCUGACAGCAACGUUAGGGAGUUUGGAGACGUCGGAGGGGGCCUCGAAAGAGUUAUCUUUUCUGUUUAACGGCCUGCCCACCCUGGAAAUGGCUCAGCUGGAGGCGGGUUCCAGCGGCCAGAAGAGCACCGAACGUCGCGUGGUGUCAGGUGCGCCCCCAGCAGCCCUUGAAAAUCUACAGGGCUGAGUGCCGUCCGCGCUCGGUCUUACUCAUAACUGCAUCAGGUCUCCAAGGUGAACAACCUCUAGUC